GAUGAACGCUAGCGGCAGGCCUAAUACAUGCAAGUCGAACGGUGUCUUCGGACAUAGUGGCGCACGGGUGCGUAACACGUAUGCAACCUACCUUACAUUGGGGGAUAGCCUUUCGAAAGGGAGAUUAAUACCGCAUAAGACAGUAGCUGGGCAUCCAGCAGCUGUUAAAGAUUUAUCGAUGUAAGCUGGGCAUGCGUCCAAUUAGCUAGUUGGUGAGGUAACGGCUCACCAAGGCAAUGAUUGGUAGGGGAACUGAGAGGUCAAUCCCCCACACUGGCACUGAGAUACGGGCCAGACUCCUACGGGAGGCAGCAGUAGGGAAUAUUGGGCAAUGGACGCAAGUCUGACCCAGCCAUACCGCGUGCAGGAUGAAGGCGUUAUGCGUUGUAAACUGCUUUUAUACAGGAAGAAACGACUCUUGCGAGAGGCAUUGACGGUGCUGUAUGAAUAAGCACCGGCUAACUCCGUGCCAGCAGCCGCGGUAACAC
rnacentral:rRNA from 1 species